GACGAACCGUGCGAACGUUGUUCGGAAUCACUGGGCUUAAAGGGCGCGUAGGCGGGCAUUCAAGUCCGGGGUGAAAGCCCCCAGCUCAACUGGGGAAGUGCCUUGGAAACUGGAUGUCUAGAGGGAGGUAGGGGCCUGUGGAACUUCGGGUGGAGCGGUGAAAUGCGUUGAUAUCCGAAGGAACGCCGGUGGCGAAAGCGACGGGCUGGACCUUUUCUGACGCUGAGGCGCGAAAGCUAGGGGAGCAAACAGG
rnacentral:rRNA from 1 species